rnacentral:pre_miRNA from 1 species
AAUUUUGAUACAGUUUGAAGACGAUUAUUAUUGAUUAUUAUUGUUGAGAUGAUUAAAAAAUCCGAAUUCAGCUGUAUAAAAAAU